rnacentral:rRNA from 1 species
AUUGAACGCUGGCGGUAUGCUUAACACAUGCAAGCCGAACGGUAGCAGGCCUUCGGGCGCUGACGAGUGGCGGACGGGUGAGUAACGCGUAGGAAUCUGCCUCAUAGUGGGGGACAACGUGGGGAAACUCACGCUAAUACCGCAUACGCCCUACGGGGGAAAGCGGGGGAUCUUCGGACCUCGCGCUAUGAGAUGAGCCUGCGUUAGAUUAGCUAGUUGGUAGGGUAAAGGCCUACCAAGGCGACGAUCUAUAGCUGGUCUGAGAGGACGAUCAGCCACACUGGGACUGAGACACGGCCCAGACUCCUACGGGAGGCAGCAGUGGGGAAUAUUGGACAAUGGGCGCAAGCCUGAUCCAGCAAUACCGCGUGUGUGAAGAAGGCCCUAGGGUUGUAAAGCACUUUCAAUUGGGAGGAAAACCUACCGGUCAAUACCCGGUAGCUUGACAUUACCUUUAGAAGAAGCACCGGCUAACUCCGUGCCAGCAGCCGCCGUAACAC